CUAAUACCGGAUGCUCCGAAAGGGAAUUAAACCCUCCAUAAUAUGAUGAACCGGCAUCGGUUUAUUAUUAAAACUGAGGUGGUACAGGAUGAGCAUGCGUCUGAUUAGCUAGUUGGUUAGUGUAAUGGACUACCAAGGCAAUGAUCAGUAGGGGAACUGAGAGGUUGAUCCCCCACACUGGCACUGAGAUACGGGCCAGACUCCUACGGGAGGCAGCAGUAGGGAAUAUUGGACAAUGGGUGAGAGCCUGAUCCAGCCAUGCCGCGUGCAGGAAGAAGGCCUUCUGGGUUGUAAACUGCUUUUAUCUGGGGAUAAAAAGGCCUUGCGAGGCAAACUGAAGGUACCAGAUGAAUAAGCCACGGCUAACUACGUG
rnacentral:rRNA from 1 species